AUUGACUAAAGCCAAAAAGAGGCUAAUCACUGUUAAUGAUUUUAUUGGGUUCCCUAGUCGUUU
rnacentral:tRNA from 1 species